CCUACGGGAGGCAGCAGUGAGGAAUAUUGGACAAUGGACGAGAGUCUGAACCAGCGAAGCAGCGUGAAGGAUGACUGCCUUAUGGGUGGUAAACUUCUUUUACAUGGGAAUAAAGUGUUCCACGUGUCGGAUUUUGUAUGUACCAUAUGAAUAAGGAUCGGCUAACUCCGUGCCAGCAGCCGCGGUAAUACGGAGGGUCCGAGUGUUAUCCGGAUUGAUUGGGGUUAAAGGGAGCGUAGGUGGAUUUUUAAGCCAGUCGUGAAAGUUUGCGGCUCAACCGUAAAAUUGCAGUUGAAACUGGCAGUCUUGAGUACAGUAGAGGUGAGCGGAAUUCGUGGUGUAGCGGUGAAAUGCUUAGAUAUCACGAAGAACUCCGAUGGCGAAGGCAGCUCACUGGACUGUAACUGACACUGAGGCUCGAAAGUGUGGGGAGCAAACAGGAUUAGAUACCCUUGUAGUC
rnacentral:rRNA from 1 species